rnacentral:hammerhead_ribozyme from 1 species
GCACUGCUGAAGAGUCCCACAAUAGGACAAAACAGCCGUCCAGUAU